rnacentral:tRNA from 3 species
GCGGGCGUAGCUCAGUGGUAGAGCACAACCUUGCCAAGGUUGGGGUCGCGGGUUCGAAUCCCGUCGCCCGCUCCA